AAGCAGCAAACUCAAAAAUUAAAUAUAUGCAUAGAUGUCAUAAACAAUGGGAAAAAAAAAGUUCAGAAUACACAGUUAAGUAAGUGAAUAUAAAGACUAUCAAGAUUGAAUAGUUUCCUGUGCAUUUUGCUGUGACUUGAAUUUAAUACAAAAAUGCAGCCCUCUAUUGAACAUCAUCAUUAGGCGGGCUUAAGAGAAGGGACUUUGCAAGUGAAGGAAUGCAAAAAAGCACACUAACAACAAUAACAGUGUGAAUCAUAAAAGAGAUUGAAUAAACACAUAUCUUGGACAGAAUAUUAAGCAGAUUGAGAGUCUAAGGAUUGUUCUACAGAUUUGUGGCAAUUAAGCAAAAUUUUGCUAAGCAUCUACAGCUGAAAAUGAACCAAUAUGCUAGCCAAACAGUUUAUGAACAGGCUUGACAAAG
rnacentral:misc_RNA from 1 species